UAAUAUUAUAGAUAGAUAAAUCACAGAGAACUUUCAUUAAUUAAUUGUGUGUAUAUGUGUGUGUAUAUAUAUAUAUAUAUAUAUAUAUAUAUAUAUAUAUAUAUAUAUGAUCUGAUGAGUAUCACAUAUAACAAUGACAAAGGAAUUCCCUAUGUAAUUUAUAAAGAAAAAGCAGGGACAGUGACAAGGACAGAAAAUCAUUAGCCACAUAAGAGCCAAAUACUUCAAAUCACACAUAAAAACGAAAAGUGUUAGCUGAGAUGAUGGAAGUUUCUUAGUUUAUGAAGCUCUAAUUAUUAAUUAUUGUUAGGUUUAGAGUGGGAAGGUAGUGCCUCUUUAUGCCCUGGUCCAUCGGGGCUUGGACCACUGUUGUCCAUUACAAUAAGUUUCCGAACCAUCUUCUUCUCUCCAUCUCCCACAUUCAAGCUUCUCAGAACUGUGUUUGACAACUCCACAAUGCUUCUCCUUGCUUCUUCAUCAGCAUCUGCAUGCACCACUAGAGUGUUAAGUGGUCGUGCCGUCGCAUGUUGGAUGUUCAGCCACACCACGAUAACAAUGAAGGCUAAGGAUUGGAGUUUUCCAGCCAUGACAGGGAGCUAGAUGCAGCAGCAAAUGAAUGGAAUUAUUAAUCUUUGAAGGUGAAUAUGAUUUUGUUAGUUUUGUUGUGAAUAGAGUACCAUAGUGCACUUCUUUUUAUAGUGUUUCUUCCAAUGCACUGUUCACUGAUAACAUAGUAUCAUGAUGUCCAUAAACUAUAGUGCCUGACAUGACAUCUUGCAUUACCCUAAUAUUUCCCCUCCUAGUUUUGAACUCCAUAAGAAACGAAGGAGCAAGUAAACUUUUGAACGAAUACUUGUAGAAAAAUAAAAUUAAUUAAGUUUUGUUUCAUAUUUAAAAUCAACUUCUCUAUAUAUUUAUGUUAUAUGAUACUUUUUAUAAAUUAAUAUAAGUAAAUUAAUCUUAAUUUAUAUUAGAAAGGGAGAUUAAUCAAUUCUAAGGUCAAAUUUGUACUCACUUAUAUAUUAUGAAUUGACUUUAUCUCUCAUUGAUUGCACCUUCUUACAUCGAGAUUGUAUCGAGAUUGUAGUGUGAGUGACAUAAUAGACCUAACAAACUCAUGUUAUAAUAGACUCUGAAUGACUUGAUGCUAUAUUGAGAACUGAAUUUUAAGUUUCACUUAAACUUACAAAACUGAUUUGUAAAACGAUAUUUUUAACCUUAUACCCACUUAUAUAAUAUGGAUUAAUCUUUUCUCUAAUCAAUUUGAGAUGUUCAAUAACUUACUGGAAAAAUUUUAAUUUAUUUUGUUUUGUGGAUAACAAAACGUAUACGAAUGGACUUGAUUUGUUAGCAUAGUUUAUGAUUGCAGCUUCACUGACAAAGGAGAUGAAGUAUAGUUUCAAGAAACAACCAAGUUAUAAUAGGAAAUGUAAGGAAAAUGUUAGUUCUAGUAUCCCAGAUUUGGAAAAAAAGUUAAUUUUGGAAUUACACAGUGGCAUUGGAGGGCAAUGACUUGUGGAGGAGGAACAAAACUUGUUGAAAUGCAAGUAAAAUGGACAAACAACGUCUACAUUCAUGCAUGUAAGUCAUGAUGAUGGAGGAGGAGGAAUAAUGCACUUAACACCUUUUAAUUCCAGUAACAUGAACUACCUCCUUUUUCUUUUUCUAUUAUGACCAUAUAAACCACUACUUUUGGUCCAUCACCACCCUCAAACAAUUUUUGUAUCAAUAUUUGUUUAACUUAUAUCUACAUGAAUUUUAAUUUAUAUAUUAGAUCAUUUUCUUCUCCCCAUAAAAAGUAGUAGUGGGGAAUUUAUGAACUCUAUUCGUUGUAUCUUCUUUUUACUUUCAUAUGCUUUGACUACCAAUUUCCAACUUCUUCAAACCUUUGGAAUUUACGUAGUUUAUGGUUCCUUUUGGGUUUAGGUCAACUACAAGUACAACACGCAAGUUCAUCCAUGAAAUUGAGUUUCAGGGGAAACAUCUUGUUUUGCUUUCAAGGAAGAGAGUAAAU
rnacentral:lncRNA from 1 species